AAUAAAUGCAACUCCCCAUUCAAUUAUUAUAUGAUAAAAAUUAUUUUUAGUCAGAACAGCUGCAUUCUAUUCACAUAAUAAUUCACAUGGAAUUCUUAGCAAGGAAGAUAUUAAUUUAUAUAAAUACAUAAAUUUUUCUUGGCAGUCGAUGAACAAUAAUAUCUUCCAUCAUCGUUUAGAAAACCUGUGAUAACUAGGAUGCAUUCCUUCUGCUAAUCUUUUGAUAGAAUAUUGCUGCAUAUGGUUUCUUCCAAGUAAAUACCCUACUCUACAAGGGUAGUGUAUUAUGUUGUAUGUUCAUAGUGACGUCUAUGAACAGUCAACGUCAAUGUUCAGGAGAUCUUGGAACCGAGAUGGUAUAUAAAGUGAGCUUGAUUUAUUAUGAGAGUAGGGGUAAGGAUGGGGGAUUAAGCGAUAUCGUGCGAUAGAUCCAUUAUAAAAUAUUGUUUUUUUGCUCGUUAUUGAUUCAUUUUAGA